GGGGGCGACAUGGCUUCGACGUGGAUCGCGAAACCCGAGGGGCAUGCCGAGGUGCGGAUUACCUCGUAAAACCAUCUGCAAAUCAUAUAGUUGCCAACGACGACAACUACGCACUAGCUGCUUAAAAACCAGCCUGGUGCCCUCUGGCCGGCGGCGUGCCUGUGCGCACCGGAUCCCAGGGGUCAUCCCACACAGGAUCGCGCCAAAGCUCGUCCGGGGCAGCGGCGUUAAAACCUUACCGGACUCGCCAGUGGUUUUCCCCGCCCGCCGGGUAACUGCUGGUCAAAUCAAUAGGCGUGGAUAAGCAUGUAGAUCCGAAGGCAGAGGAUUUGCGGACGCGGGUUCGAUUCCCGCCGCCUCCACCA
rnacentral:tmRNA from 1 species